rnacentral:rRNA from 1 species
GUCCACGCCGUAAACGAUGAGAACUUGGUGUCGGUCUGCUUAGCAGAUCGGUACCGUAGCUAACGCGAUAAGUUCUCCGCCUGGGGAGUACGGCCGCAAGGUUGAAACUCAAAGGAAUUGACGGGGGCCCGCACAAGCGGUGGAGUAUGUGGUUUAAUUCGAUGCAACGCGAAGAACCUUACCUGGCCUUGACAUCUGUGGAACUUGGUAGAGAUACCUUGGUGCCUUCGGGAACCGCAAGAC